CCUACGGGUGUGCAGCAGUGGGGAAUAUUGGACAAUGGGCGAAAGCCUGAUCCAGCCAUGCCGCGUGUGUGAAGAAGGCCUUCGGGUUGUAAAGCACUUUCAGUGGGGAAGAAAGCCUUGGGGCUAAUACCCUCGAGGAAGGACAUCACCCACAGAAGAAGCACCGGCUAACUCCGUGCCAGCAGCCGCGGUAAUACGGAGGGUGCGAGCGUUAAUCGGAAUUACUGGGCGUAAAGCGCGCGUAGGCGGUCUGAUAAGCCGGUUGUGAAAGCCCCGGGCUCAACCUGGGAACGGCAUCCGGAACUGUCAGGCUAGAGUGCAGGAGAGGAAGGUAGAAUUCCCGGUGUAGCGGUGAAAUGCGUAGAGAUCGGGAGGAAUACCAGUGGCGAAGGCGGCCUUCUGGACUGACACUGACGCUGAGGUGCGAAAGCGUGGGUAGCAAACAGGAUUAGAUACCCGUGUAGUC
rnacentral:rRNA from 1 species